rnacentral:rRNA from 1 species
AGCGAACGUUAGCGGCGGGCCUAACACAUGCAAGUCGAACGCGAAAGGUCUUCGGACUGAGUAGAGUGGCGCACGGGUGAGUAACACGUAGGUAAUCUACCCUUUGGCGGGGGAUAACGUUCCGAAAGGAGCGCUAAUACCGCAUAAGACCACGGAGUCUCCGGACGCUGUGGGAAAAGGUGGCCUCUUCUUGAAAGCUACCACCGAAGGAUGAGCCUGCGUCCCAUCAGCUAGUUGGUAAGGUAAUGGCUUACCAAGGCGAAGACGGGUAGCUGGUUUGAGAGAAUGAUCAGCCACACUGGCACUGGAACACGGGCCAGACUCCUACGGGAGGCAGCAGUGAGGAAUAUUGGGCAAUGGGCGAAAGCCUGACCCAGCCACGCCGCGUGAGUGAUGAAGGCCCUCGGGUCGUAAAGCUCUGUGGAGAGGGACGAAAAACCCUGGUUUCAAAUAGGCUCCAGGCUUGACGGUACCUCUUUAGCAAGCACCGGCUAACUCUGUGCCAGCAGCCG